rnacentral:rRNA from 1 species
AGUGAACGCUGGCGGUAGGCCUAACACAUGCAAGUCGAACGGCAGCACAGUAAGAGCUUGCUCUUACGGGUGGCGAGUGGCGGACGGGUGAGGAAUACAUCGGAAUCUACUUUUUCGUGGGGGAUAACGUAGGGAAACUUACGCUAAUACCGCAUACGACCUACGGGUGAAAGCAGGGGAUCUUCGGACCUUGCGCGAUUGAAUGAGCCGAUGUCGGAUUAGCUAGUUGGCGGGGUAAAGGCCCACCAAGGCGACGAUCCGUAGCUGGUCUGAGAGGAUGAUCAGCCACACUGGAACUGAGACACGGUCCAGACUCCUACGGGAGGCAGCAGUGGGGAAUAUUGGACAAUGGGCGCAAGCCUGAUCCAGCAAUACCGCGUGGUUGAAGAAGGCCUUCGGGUUGUAAAGCCCUUUUGUUGGGAAAGAAAAGCAGCAGGUUAAUACCCCGCUGUUCUGACGGUACCCAAAGAAUAAGCACCGGCUAACUUCGUG